UGCCGAAGUUUUCCUCGGCAGUUAACUGCAGCCGGUUUCAUAAUUCAGCAGUUAACUGCCGAGGGACAU
rfam:Medicago truncatula strain A17 chromosome 2, whole genome shotgun sequence.